rnacentral:rRNA from 1 species
GAGGCACCAGUGGGGAAUAUUGGGCAAUGGCGGUGACUGUGCACCAGGGAGGCCGUGUGAGGGAUGAAGGCUUUCGGGUGGUAAGCCUCUUUCAGUAGGGAAGAAGGGAAAGCGACGGUGCCUACAGAGGAAGCGCCGGGUAUAUAUGUGCCAGCACACGCGGUAAUACAUAGGGGGCACGAGUUGUCCUGAAAUAUUGGGGGUAAAGAGCU